rnacentral:misc_RNA from 1 species
GGUAAUUACUGACGAAAAAUUUUCGUAGGUAAAAUUUUUUAAGAUUUUUUAAAUUUUUUCUAUUUUCUUCUUAAUAUUACCAACUAAUACUACAAAAAAAAGUGAGUACAGGGGACAAUUUUUGGGGACCAAUUUUUUUUAUGGUCCUAAAUCAUAAUUUUUUUAUAUUAUAGGGGACCAAUAUAUUUUUUGUCCCUAAUUGAAUUACCAUUUAGAAUUGGGGACGACUUUUCUAUCAUAAUUAAAAAUAAAAAAAAAAAUCU